GAGAAAGAAAGUAUUUCCAACAGGUUUUUAUGCUGCUAUUAGUGUUGCAAUGCUCUGCUUCUACUCAUAUGUGCUGAUCUCGGGAGGGAACCCACCACCAAAGAAAUUGAAGUCAUCUCCAAGUUUUGCAUCAUGAUGAGAACACCUAAGGUAUGAUUAUUAGAUAUGGAAGGGUAGGAUUUUGUUUGAUUUAAUGUUGUAUUGUGAAUUCAAUGGGGGUUAUUAUAGAUGCAUAAUGUUGAACAUGCUUAUUUUUAUUCGAUUACUAAUUUGAUAGAA